rnacentral:tRNA from 1 species
UCCUGGUUAGCUCAGAUGGUAGAGCUCUCCACUCGAAACGGAGAGGUCUCUGGUUCGAAACCAGGAAGAGGUG